rnacentral:rRNA from 1 species
GCGAGUGUAGGUGGCUCAUUAAGUCACAUGUGAAAUCCCCGGGCUUAACCUGGGAACUGCAUGUGAUACUGGUGGUGCUAGAAUAUGUGAGAGGGAAGUAGAAUUCCAGGUGUAGCGGUGAAAUGCGUAGAGAUCUGGAGGAAUACCGAUGGCGAAGGCAGCUUCCUGGCAUAAUAUUGACACUGAGAUUCGAAAGCGUGGGUAGCAAACAGGAUUAGAUACCCUGGUAGUCCACGCCGUAAACGAUGUCUACUAGCCGUUGGGGUCCUUGAGACUUUAGUGGCGCAGUUAACGCGAUAAGUAGACCGCCUGGGGAGUACGGCCGCAAGGUUAAAACUCAAAUGAAUUGACGGGGGCCCGCACAAGCGGUGGAGCAUGUGGUUUAAUUCGAUGCAACGCGAAGAACCUUACCUGGUCUUGACAUAGUGAGAAUCCUGCAGAGAUGCGGGAGUGCCUUCGGGAACUCACAUACAGGUGCUGCAUGGCUGUCGUCAGCUCGUGUCGUGAGAUGUUGGGUUAAGUCCCGCAACGAGCGCAACCCUUUUCCUUAUUUGCCAGCGGGUUAAGCCGGGAACUUUAAGGAUACUGCCAGUGACAAACUGGAGGAAGGCGGGGACGACGUCAAGUCAUCAUGGCCCUUACGACCAGGGCUACACACGUGCUACAAUGGUAGGUACAGAGGGUUGCUACACAGCGAUGUGAUGCUAAUCUCAAAAAGCCUAUCGUAGUCCGGAUUGGAGUCUGCAACUCGACUCCAUGAAGUC